AUUGAACGCUGGCGGCAGGCCUAACACAUGCAAGUCGAGCGGAUGAAGGGAGCUUGCUCCUGGAUUCAGCGGCGGACGGGUGAGUAAUGCCUAGGAAUCUGCCUGGUAGUGGGGGAUAACGUCCGGAAACGGGCGCUAAUACCGCAUACGUCCUGAGGGAGAAAGUGGGGGAUCUUCGGACCUCACGCUAUCAGAUGAGCCUAGGUCGGAUUAGCUAGUUGGUGGGGUAAAGGCCUACCAAGGCGACGAUCCGUAACUGGUCUGAGAGGAUGAUCAGUCACACUGGAACUGAGACACGGUCCAGACUCCUACGGGAGGCAGAAGUGGGGAAUAUUGGACAAUGGGCGAAAGCGUGAUCCAGCCAUGCCGCGUGUGUGAAGAAGGUCUUCGGAUUGUAAAGCUCUUUAAGUUGGGAGGAAGGGCAGUAAGUUAAUAUCUUGCUGUUUUGACGUUACCAACAGAAUAAGCACCGGCUAACUUCGUG
rnacentral:rRNA from 1 species